rnacentral:rRNA from 1 species
AAUGAACGCUGGCGGCAGGCCUAACACAUGCAAGUCGAACGGGUCCUUCGGGACUAGUGGCGGACGGGUGAGUAACGCGUGGGAACGUGCCCCUUGGUACGGAAUAGCCCCGGGAAACUGGGAGUAAUACCGUAUGUGGUCGAGAGACGAAAGAUUUAUCGCCAAGGGAUCGGCCCGCGUUGGAUUAGGUAGUUGGUGGGGUAAUGGCCUACCAAGCCGACGAUCCAUAGCUGGUUUGAGAGGAUGAUCAGCCACACUGGGACUGAGACACGGCCCAGACUCCUACGGGAGGCAGCAGUGGGGAAUCUUAGACAAUGGGAGAAACCCUGAUCUAGCCGUGCCGCGUGAUCGAUGAAGGCCUUAGGGUUGUAAAGAUCUUUCAGGUGGGAAGAUAAUGACUGUACCCACAGAAGAAGCCCCGGCUAACUCCGUGCCAGCAGCCGCCGCCGUAA